rnacentral:rRNA from 1 species
AAUUUUUUAAAAGUUGAACAAACUUACUAAAUUAAUUUUUAUUUCAAUUAGUAAAAUUAAUUCAACAUCGAGGUAAUAAUCUAAAUUUUUAAUUUAUUCUAUAAAAUUUAAUUAUC